GGGCGUGUGGCAUAGUGGAUAUUGCGUCGGUCUACGAAACCGAAGAUCGCGAGUUCGAUCCUCGCCUCGCUCA
rfam:Bathycoccus prasinos genomic : Chromosome_6.